GGCAGUGUGGUGUAGUGGUUAGAGUGUUAGACUAGGACCUUGAAGACGAGGGUUCGAUUCCCACCUCAGCCA